GCAACUCGCCUGCAUGAAGUUGGAAUCGCUAGUAAUCGCGGAUCAGAAUGUCGCGGUGAAUACGUUCCCGGGUCUUGUACACACGCCCGUCACACCAUGGGAGCCGGAAAUGCCCGAAGUCAGUGGCCCAACCUUAAAGGAGGGAGCUGCCGAAGGUGGAGCUGGUAACUGGGGUGAAGUCGUAACAAGGUAGC
rnacentral:rRNA from 1 species